rnacentral:rRNA from 1 species
CAGCAGUCGCCGCGGUAAUACGUAGGUGGCAAGCGUUGUCCGGAAUUAUUGGGCGUAAAGGGAGCGCAGGCGGUUUAGUAAGUCUGAAGUUAAAGGCAUUGGCUCAACCAAUGUAUGCUUUGGAAACUGUUAGACUUGAGUGCAGAAGGGGAGAGUGGAAUUCCAUGUGUAGCGGUGAAAUGCGUAGAUAUGUGGAGGAACACCGGUGGCGAAAGCGGCUCUCUGGUCUGUCACUGACGCUGAGGCUCGAAAGCGUGGGUAGCGAACAGGAUUAGAUACCCCGGUAGUCCCUGUCUCUUAUACA